UGGACUGCAAGAAUCCAAGGACAGCGUUUUGAACAGAUUUAAAUUACAGGAUUUCAUUAGAGUUUGAUCCUAAGCAGGAGCAACAAAAGAGCACAUUGUACCAGCCAGACACCGACCAAGCGUUUCUUUUUUUUAAAUGGGCAAUGUGCACAAAGGGUUACCACCCGACGGCGGAAAAAAAAAAAUCAUAAAAAGGGGGCCUCUCGCUGCAGCCACAGAGGAGGUACCAUAUAACCAUAAGGAGAGUAAAUUUAGAACGGGAGGCCUACUGCAUUCGAGGGAUUCCAGACAUUCCAGCCUUCACAUUGCUGCGGCGCGGGGCUGCCAUCUUAAAUAGCCACCGCCGGUAAACAAGGUCAUGACAUCACAUAGGCCGAGUCGACAAUGUCAAGGACGGGCUUGCAGGAAUGCCAAAAUUAGUUCCCAAAGGAGGGGAUCGAGUGAGAGAAGAAACACUCGACACGCAGAAUUUCAGGAGCAAUACAAAAGCGAAGGGGGAAAAAAGUGUUUACAAAAUCUGAAGUGCUUGGCAAUACAAUGUUUGUCUGGACAAGAAACACCACAUUGCAUUCAUCUGGAGAUAUUUCAUUUAAAAGCAUCAGCAGAAUUGAGAGUCUUCCAAAAACACCAAUAUCAUCGUUAGAAAUGUUUGACUUUCGUAAGUGGCCGAUAGAAGGGGAAAAGAAAGAGUGAUCGGACUCCAGCACAUUUAGCCACGAGCAGUGAGAGGAACUAAUGAACAACAUCAUUACUUUAUUGAAGGAGAUGAAGGAGCUGCUUUAGAUCAAUGGCUGCAGCUUAAAACGUGGUUCAGGAAAUAAAUUCACCUUCUCUCAAUUUACCUGCUAGCUUGACAAGCGAAGACAGAGCAUGAGAAAAAGCAGUGCAAAUGCUAACUGAGGUGAUGCCGUCGGCCCGCAUCCAAGGGAGUGUGUGAACAAAGAUUCUUGGACGCGCUCCUAGUCAAAUAUAAACCAGGAACACUCCUCACUCCAGUCUCUCUUGCAAAUCCGCUGUCGAGCGUGCGCAAAGACCCACCUGUCUCAAAGUCAAAUCUAUUCCCAAGAAUCAAACACUGGCUUGUUUAUGACUUGGUCACUACUGCACUGUGAUCUCUAAUUUCGUUUGUCUUAGAGCAAGAGAAACGUACCACC